rnacentral:lncRNA from 1 species
GUCACUUUUUGGGACCCCUGAGCCACUAUGUAAGAAGGCUGGCUAUCUUCUUGAAGAAACCCUGUGGUCAGCACUGAGCCUAUGAGGCACGAGAGUGGGGCUGUCUCUCAACUUCCCAAUCGAGCUUCCAGAUGACUCCAGGCCCAGGCAACAUUUGAUUACAAUCUCAUGAAAGACUCCAAGAGAGACCAUCAGAAGACUCCUGGUCUGACCACUGAAUUGUGAGAGGUCAGUCCCAGGAUCUUGGCAUGAUUUGAGAAGUUCCUGCUGCCGUCCACCAUUUCUGGCCAAGGAGACCUCUGGGAAGCCAAGCUCAGGAAUGUAGCCAUUCCACCGAACCAUUUCCAUGGAAUGACUCAUUUGGAAAUCUGUUUUUCCUCUGUGAGAUUUCCUGGAUCUAUCAAUUACUGAAAUUCCUAAGCAAAAGAUACCCUUUCAGGACUUGACCAUUGUUUUUUGUUUGUAUGUGUAUGUUUUUUUUUUCUUAGAAAACUGAGGAUGGCUUUACUAAACAUCUGUUGCCUGAGUCUAUAUUCUUCAGGACUCACUUCUGAAAAUCUAAGAUUCCUUUAAAGUGGUUCGUACUGUUAAAUGACUGAAUCUUCACUUUUCUAUUUCUGCAAACCUCAUACAAAUUAUUUUCAAAAUAGACAACUAAAAAUUGUAGUAUCUUGUACGUGAUGUUUUAGAUUAUGCAUACAUUGUGGAAAGGCUCAAUAGAGCUAAUCAACAGAUCCAUUACCUCAGAUACUUAUCCCUUUUUUUAUGGUGAGAACACUUAAAAUCUAUUCUCUUAGCAUUUUUCGAAGUAUAGUACUGUUAUUAACUAUGGUCACUACAUUGUACAAUUGAUUAGGAAUAUAUUCUGCCUCUCGAACUGGAAUUUUGUAUCCUUUGACCAACCUCUCCCCAAACCCCCAUGUAUCCAGCUCCUGUUAAUCACUAUUCUACUCUCUACUUGGAUUAGUUCGAUUUUUUAGAUUCCACAUAUAUGUGAGAUUAUGUGGUAUCUGUCUUUCUGUGCCUGGUUUAUUUCACUUGAUAGAAUUUCCUUCUUGUUUAAGGCUGAAUAGUAUUCCUUUGCAUAUAUUUAGCAUAUUUUCUUUAUCCAUUGAUCCAUUGAUGAACACUUAGGUUGAUUUGGUAUCUUGGCUAUUUGCCAAUAAUGCUGCGGUAAACAUGGGAGUGUAAAUAUCACUCUGACAUACUGAUUUCGUUUUCUUUGGAUAUACACCCGGUAUUGGGAUUGCCAGAUCCAAUGGUAGUUCUAUUUUUAAUAUUUUUGAGAAACCUCCAUACUGCUUUCUAUAAUGACUACACUAAUUUACUCCCACCAACAACGUGAAAGGGUUUCCUUUCCUCCAUAUACUCACCAGCAAUUAUCUUUCAUCUAGUUGAUAAUAUCCAUUCCAAUAGGUGUGAAAUGAUAUCUGAUUAUAGUUUCAAUUUACAUUUUCCUGAUGAUGAGUGAUGUUGAGCAUUUUGGUUUAUACUUACUAGCCAUUUGUAUUUAUUCUUUUGAGAAAUGUCUAAUCAGGUCCUUUAGCUAUGUUUUAAUUGGGUUAUUUGUUUUCUUG